GAGAGUUAAACAGUACGUGAAAUUGUUGAAAGGGAAACGAUUGAAGUCAGUCAUACCAACGGGAAAUCAACCUCUUGAGUUUGGUCUCGUGGGUUUCGAAGAGUUUAAAAGCCUUCGGAUUUUCGAGAUUGGGCUCUUCUGGUGUACUUUCUCGUACGGUUAGUCAACAUCGGUUUUGAAUGUCAUAAAAUGACUGGAGGAAUGUGGCUUCGAUCUCGUAUUGAAGUGUUAUAACCUUUGGUAGAUGUGAUGUUUGAGACCGAGGAUUGCAACGGAUACCCUUCUGGGCUAUUUCGUCUGAUCUCUGAAACGUUGCCUUGAUGUCGAAAGCUUGCUUAUGAUGUUAGGGUAUUACGGUCAAAAGGUUAGAACGGAUUAAAUUCGUUAAGGAUGUUGACGUAAUGACUUUAAACGA
rnacentral:rRNA from 1 species